CCUACGGGAGGCAGCAGUAAGGAAUAUUGGUCAAUGGACGAAAGUCUGAACCAGCCAUGCCGCGUGAAGGAUUAAGGUCCUCUGGAUUGUAAACUUCUUUUAUAGGGGACGAAAAAAGGGCAUUCUUGCUCUCUUGACGGUACCCUGUGAAUAAGCACCGGCUAACUCCGUGCCAGCAGCCGCGGUAAUACGGAGGGUGCAAGCGUUAUCCGGAUUCACUGGGUUUAAAGGGUGCGUAGGCGGGUAGGUAAGUCAGUGGUGAAAUCUCGGAGCUUAACUCCGAAACUGCCAUUGAUACUAUCUAUCUUGAAUAUUGUGGAGGUUUGCGGAAUAUGUCAUGUAGCGGUGAAAUGCAUAGAUAUGACAUAGAACACCUAUUGCGAAGGCAGCAGGCUACACAUAUAUUGACGCUGAGGCACGAAAGCGUGGGGAUCAAACAGGAUUAGAUACCCUGGUAGUCCACGCCCUAAACGAUGAUUACUCGACAUACGUGAUACACUAUGUGUGUNUGAGNGAAGANAUAAGUAAUACACCNGGAGUACGUCCGCGAGAGAGAACGUACGAAAGAAGUAGACGGACGUAGAGACGAGCCGACGGACGACGACGAGGGGAGGAGGG
rnacentral:rRNA from 1 species